GACGAACGCUGGCGGCGUGCUUAACACAUGCAAGUCGAACGGAAAGGCCCUGCUUUUGUGGGGUGCUCGAGUGGCGAACGGGUGAGUAACACGUGAGUAACCUGCCCUUGACUUUGGGAUAACUUCAGGAAACUGGGGCUAAUACCGGAUAGGAGCUCCUGCUGCAUGGUGGGGGUUGGAAGGUUUCGGCGGUGGGGGAUGGCCUCGGGGCUUAUCAGCUUGUUGGUGGGGUAGUGGCUUACCAAGGCUUUGACGGGUAGCCGGCCUGAGAGGGUGACCGGCCACAUUGGGACUGAGAUACGGCCCAGACUCCUACGGGAGGCAGCAGUGGGGAAUAUUGCACAAUGGGCGGAAGCCUGAUGCAGCAACGCCGCGUGCGGGAUGACGGCCUUCGGGUUGUAAACCGCUUUCGCCUGUGACGAAGCGUGAGUGACGGUAAUGGGUAAAGAAGCACCGGCUAACUACGUG
rnacentral:rRNA from 1 species